rnacentral:rRNA from 1 species
UACAGAGGGUGCUAGCGUUGUUCGGAAUCAUUGGGCGUAAAGGGCGUGUAGGCGGUUUGUUAAGUCAUGUGUGAAAUCCCUCGGCUCAACCGGGGAACGACGCAUGAAACUGGCAAGCUAGAGUACCAAAGAGGGGGGUGGAAUUCCUGGUGUAGCGGUGAAAUGCGUAGAUAUCGAGAGGAACACCGGUGGCGAAGGCGGCUUCCUGGACAGUGACUGACGCUGAGACGCGAAAGCGUGGGGAGCAAACAGG